rnacentral:rRNA from 1 species
GAGAUUGGGAGAGGGAUGCGGAAUUCCAGGUGUAGCGGUGAAAUGCGUAGAUAUCUGGAGGAACACCGGUGGCGAAGGCGGCAUCCUGGACCAACACUGACGCUGAGGAGCGAAAGCCAGGGGAGCAAACGGGAUUAGAUACCCCGGUAGUCCUGGCCCUAAACGAUGAAUGCUUGGUGUGGCGGGUAUCGAUCCCUGCCGUGCCGAAGCUAACGCAUUAAGCAUUCCGCCUGGGGAGUACGGUCGCAAGGCUGAAACUUAAAGGAAUUGACGG